UGCAUCAGCAGCUCCAUGCUCCAGCGCUCUGGGAGAGUUUAUAGUCCUGACAGUUGAACACUGGAUGACUGACAGCUGUCCUUCAUCACAACAGAAGACACAGAAAUCCUCCUCAUCAAAAACAUGACUUUGAUCUGCAUCCUCAUCUGGACUCUCCUCUGCUGCUGCUUCACAGAGGUCAGAGGUCAGUACACACUGACUCAGCCUUCAGCAGUGAGAAUUGAUCUGGGAGGAUCUGCCACCAUCAGCUGUAGAACCAGUCAGAAUAUUCAUGGCACCUAUUUAGCCUGGUACCAACAGAAAGAUGGACAAACUCUUAAGCUCCUCAUUUAUACUACCAGCACUAAAGCAUCAGGGACUCCAAGUCGUUUUUCAGGCAGUGGAUCAAACUCUGACUUCACUCUGACCAUCAGUGGAGUUCAGGCUGAAGAUGCUGCAGUUUAUUACUGUCAGAGUCUUCAUUACCCCAAUAGCCAGUAUGUGUUCACACAGUGAAAA